AGAGUUUGAUCAUGGCUCAGGAUGAACGCUAGCGGCAGGCUUAAUACAUGCAAGUCGAGGGGCAGCAUGGUGUAGCAAUACACUGAUGGCGACCGGCAAACGGGUGCGGAACACGUACACAACCUUCCUUUAAGCGGGGGAUAGCCCAGAGAAAUUUGGAUUAAUACCCCAUAGUAUGACGACGAGGCAUCUUGUUGUUAUUAAAGAUUUAUCACUUGAAGAUGGGUGUGCGUCUGAUUAGGUAGUUGGCGGGGUAACGGCCCACCAAGCCAUCGAUCAGUAACUGGUGUGAGAGCACGACCAGUCACACGGGCACUGAGACACGGGCCCGACUCCUACGGGAGGCAGCAGUAAGGAAUAUUGGUCAAUGGACGCAAGUCUGAACCAGCCAUGCCGCGUGGAGGAUGAAGGUCCUCUGGAUUGUAAACUUCUUUUAUUUGGGAAGAAAUGCAUCUUUUCUAAGGUGUUUGACGGUACCAGAUGAAUAAGCACCGGCUAACUCCGUGCCAGCAGCCGCGGUAAUACGGAGGGUGCAAGCGUUAUCCGGAUUCACUGGGUUUAAAGGGUGCGUAGGUGGGCAGUUAAGUCAGUGGUGAAAUCUCCGGGCUCAACCCGGAAACUGCCAUUGAUACUAUCUGUCUUGAAUAUCGUUGAGGUAAGCGGAAUAUGUCAUGUAGCGGUGAAAUGCUUAGAUAUGACAUAGAACACCAAUUGCGAAGGCAGCUUGCUAACCGAAUAUUGACACUGAGGCACGAAAGCGUGGGGAUCAAACAGGAUUAGAUACCCUGGUAGUCCACGCCCUAAACGAUGGAUACUCGACAUACGCGAUAUACAGUGUGUGUCUGAGCGAAAGCAUUAAGUAUCCCACCUGGGAAGUACGACCGCAAGGUGAAACUCAAAGGAAUUGACGGGGGUCCGCACAAGCGUGAGCAUGUGNUUAAUUCGAUGAUACGCGAGAACNACCUGGGCUAGAAUGCAGUCUGACGCGGGUGAAAGCUCGGUUUGUANNANUAANNNNAUUGUAANNGCUGCAUGCUGUC
rnacentral:rRNA from 1 species